AUGACAGUGCCGUGGGCGACCACUCCGGCGCCGCGGCCACCUACCACCGCAUCAAGAAAGCAUUCGAGUGGAGGGGGUAUGAAACAGGAUGUCAACGACUUCGUGCGGCAAUGCCAAGUCUGCCGGCAAGCCAAGCAUGAAUUGUGCAAGCCAGCGGGCAAAUUGGCACCACUGCCAAUCCCAACAGCACCUUGGCAAGUUAUUGAAGGAUUACCCAAGUCAGAGGGGUAUGAUGCAAUCAUGGUGGUGGUCGACCGCUUCACAAAAUUUGCCCACUUCGUGCCCCUGCGGCACCCGUUCACGGCGACACAGCCGGCGCGCGUGUUCUGGGACAACGUCGUCAAGCUCCACAGCAUCCCAGCAUCUAUUGUCAGCGACCGCGACAAGGUCUUCACAAGCGCGCUCUGGCGCGAGCUGCUGGCCAGCGCGGGCACCAAGCUCCUCUACUCCACCGCCUACCACCCCCAGACAAAUGGACAAAGUGAACGCGUCAACCAGUGCAUGGAAAUGUACUUGCGUUGCGCUGUUCACGACACCCCCCGGCAAUGGCGACGAUGGCUUCCCUCUGCUGAAUUCUGGUACAAUUCCUCAUUUCACUCCUCACUGGGCUGCUCUCCCUUCAAGGCGUUGUAUGGGGUAGAAGCCAACGAGGGGAGCAUGGCCACCUGGCCGGCAUCCCAACCAACCUUGCCGGACGGCAAGCAGUGGGAUUGGUCGCUGCAUCAAGAGAACUUGCACGCUCACCUGACACGGGCGCAGAGCAAGCACAAGAAGUUUGCUGACAGGAACCGGACCGAGCAGGUGUUUCAAGUCGGGGAUCAAGUUCUUCUGAAGCUUCAGCCAUAUGUGCAAAAAUCGGUAGCAAGUUGUCCCUGUCCGAAGCUGGCAUUCAAGUUCUUUGGCCCUUUCUCCGUCAUCGCCAACAUCGGACCCUCGGCGUACAAGUUGGAUCUUCCUGCUGACAGCAAAAUCCACCCAGUGUUUCACGCCUCGCAGUUGAAACCUUUCACACCCAACUACAGCCCAGUGUUUUCUGAACUACCUGUCAUUACCGAUCUGUCGACUGAAGAAACACUGCCAGUGGAAAUCUUGGACAGAAGGAUGAUGAAGAAGGGCAAUGCACCGGUGAUUCAGCUUCAAGUGGCUUGGGACACGGUUCCCCCGUCUACUACCUGGGAGGACUACGACGUACUUCGCCGGCGCUAUCCUCAAGCAACUAUUUGGGAGAACGAAGCCAUGAAGGAGGGGGUUCAUUCUCAAGGAGGGGAGAAUGUCACUACGGUUGUGCACGGCACCACCGAGUGA
rnacentral:rRNA from 1 species